GGUACAUCAAUUUGAAUUUAUAAAAAUAAUAUUAGUCUAUUUGGAAAUAAGUAAAAUGAAAGCAUCUUUUUCUUUGUAACUAUUAAUCAAAAAUGGAACUUUUCAAGUCUAGUAGUAACUAUUUGCAAAACCUGCUUUCACAAUCAGUAAUUUUGUAUGAUGUCCUCUGAGAGUGCUAUGAGACUUGUAUGAUUCUUAGAAUAAAAAGCUGUCAUUUUUCUAAACACCAUUAAGUGGCUGCUUCCUGUAGUGGAGAAACAUUGUGUUUUCUUAGAGGCAGGAUUUGAAUAUGUACAUAUUAUUUUGAUGAGAAUCGGCUUCAAAAGAAUAACAAUUAAUUUAAAACUCAAGGACAUCCAGACGUGAAAGAAUAGUCGAUUAAAUCGAACGUGUUCUAAGUGAGGCCAUGCUCGUAUUUGAAUUUAGAAUUUACUUCCGGUAAUUAUUAAUUUAUUAACAGUUUAUAUCAUUACUCAACAGAGGAUUAUCAAAUUAAUUUUUACCAUGUCCAAUUAUUUGAAUCAAUAUUCAAACGACUAAAUUUUGAAACGUCGGAUUCAAAAAUGAAGCUGAAAAAUAUGAACAAAUGCAACGCAAAACUCGUUUUGAAGACUGCAUAAUGGUUUGCUUUAGUCAUACACUCAAUAUAUUGCUUAAUGACGACAAUAAGUAUUGAGUGACUUUUGUUUCCAUUGAGGAGAUAUGAAUUUCUUUUGAAAAAGCAAAAUUUUAGCCGAAAUUUGGAAAUUCCAAGUCAUGCUGACAGUAUGGUAAGGUGUGGAAAGACAAUUGAAUUGGCAGGGGGGAAUGAGGGUGCAGUAGUGGUGACGUAACAGCGAAAUGACAGAAGUUGGGUUGGGCGAGUGUAAAGCUGGAUCGAUCGAGCGGUGGUCGGGCAUAGACACUGCUCUCCUCUACCCCACCCACAUAUCAAUGGUAUGUGUGCCUGCAUAACCCUCUUACACCACUCCUUUUUUUAAAAAAAACCUCUUCUAGCCAUAUUUAUUCUUCUUUUCCCUUUCCCACAUACCUUUCUCAUGUAACAAAACUUGUUUCUGUAUUAUCUGCUACUAACAAGAAUAUCGGCAGUGCAGUUAGCAUCCCUUCAACAGAAUCUUCGGGCACAUUGGUGGCGGUGCUAUUGUGUAUUCAGUCAGUGCGCGCGCGUGUGUGUGUGUGAAAUCAAAUAUCACGGAAACAAGAAUUACUAUAGUAAUUUUGUGGCGUGAACACUGGUUUAGACGGAUUUGCUCUAUGGCUAAACUGUUCUAUGUCCGAUUAUUAUUUCAAUAAAUAAUUUCGGUUCAUCUGUGAAAGAAGAUGGUGAACUUACCUUCGAACAUGGCGUGGGGCUGAAAACAUCCUUCAGUCCUGACCACAGACAAAACAGGCACUUGCUGAAAACACCUAAGGUCAAGAUUUUCAGUGCUUUGCUCUUCAGAACUCAAGGUAAACAUCCCAAGAAGAUUUUGAACCCAGCAGCGACUUACCGACUGUUGCCACACUAACGAAAUAAUUGACAUUGAGAGGCCUCAUCUUGAUCGAACAUUGUUGAGAGACUUUAAUUUAAUUCGAAAGCGAUCCAUAACUAUUUGGACACAGGAGGGAUUAGAUGAGCGGCCUCUGCAGGUUACUACAUAAGAAGGCUACGUACAGUAUCUGCAAAAAGAUUGCAUGAUUCAGAUUCGUCCAGUUGGGAGCAACCAUCAGCUUUUCAAAGGUUCUGAACGACACGUGAAGCAAUAAGAAGUAAUGCUCUACAUCUACCCUGUAGAUCCGAAUUUGUUUGACAUUGGGCGACAAAUUCGGUUCUAGAGAGGUUUGUGUGGUGCAUACAAAGCGACGUUCUAAAUUAGGCUACUUGUUAAUUGGUAAUAAUAUUUAUGUUACUAAUCAUCAAUAUGCAACCACUAAAUGUUGCCAAGUUCAGUCUCUGAUACAUUCACUACUGACAAGUGACAUAACGAAUAUACCCUGUCCAGCACUAUACAUUUUAUAUUGUUAAAUAAGUCUUAGCACUAACAUGAUUUGGCUUAAUUUAAAUUGUUUCGAAUUGUUUAUUCUAAUUGUAAGAAACAGAAAUUGUACAAUUCAAGUAGUAGUCUAGUAUUAUCCUACAAGUGAAAUUUCACACAUCAUUAUCUUAGCAUACAUUCCUUAAGGAAAAAGGCGUAUGGUAUCUUAAUCAAUGUACGUCUAUCCCCCGCAACAAAUUUGUAUCUACUGACAGAUUUUCACAAAACGUAUUAUGAACAUAACGAGAGGCAGAGUCCCCUAAGUAAGUCAUUCAAUGCUGUUUUUCUUGUAGACUGUCCUCGUCGUAAGUUUUUAGAAAUAAAGCCAUGACGUUUUAAGGACUGGUUCUGUCCCGGUUUUGAGAUAAUAAAAGAAACCUACAAUUUGGGAUCUUCCAGACUACCGAUUGGGAUUAGCCCUUUCUAGAGGACCCCAUUAGUUGCAAUCCAUGAUCAUGAAGAAAACCCAAGAGAAAUCCAAAUGCAGAAUAACGAAAUACAUUGUUUAAAUUCAAACUACAAUUAAUUAAAUUAACAAUACAUUCUAGACAAUUUAACAAUAUGUCAACCAAAUAAUUUGCUAGUGUUGCUGAUAAUGAGUGAACGAAUUAAAUAACGAUGUGAUAUAAAUGUAAGUGAAAACGCAAACAGCAUUGGUAAGACUGUUUUACCUAAAAUAUAUUCCACAUUGUCUGUGUGUUGAGGUCCUAGUCUGCUACUUGCCUCAGCUGUCUGUGGACAAUCGCGAAGAGGGUACCAGGCACCCACUUUAAACCGAGUGCCUUUCAAACAAGACCGAACUAUUUAACCUUUAUAUGGCAUGCACAUCACAUAGAAUCAGAGUCCUAGUAUAGGCUUCUAUACAGAGUUUCGAGGGGGGGGGGGAACUCAGCUCAUAGAAGAGAGUCCUUCCUGUGAAGCUGAUAGUAUCUUAGUGGAUGAACGAGAUAUCCUGUUUUCUGUAGAACCCGAACGUCUACUGCCCACCACUGUAACCUAUCCAGAUUCCAGCUCAUACCCUUACACUCUGUUACACCGCAAAAACGUUUUAUCUAUGCCUUGGUCCCGUUGACCGACCAAAAUUUCGUAUGAAUUUUAUUUGUGUACUGUAUGGCUCUGUCCUUGACUUUAUCACCCUAAUAAUGCAUGGUGAAGGGUACAAAUUAUGUAGCCCCUUGUUAUGUAAUUUUUUAAUCUGGUUAUAUAGUCUCUUACUUCCACACAUUCUUCUUCGUCGUGUGUUCUUUAGAUUGUUAUGUACAAAAAACUCUCCAUUUUAUAUACAGUGAACAUAAGUUUAGGAGAAGAUGUAAAAUUACAAUAAGAAAAUGACAUGAUAUGUACUCAGGAAUGAUUAUUCGUCGUUUAUCGCUUUAUCAUCAAUAUAUUAAUAAAAUGAGUGGAUCUCCAUAUCAAAUCCUUGGUUAUCCUUAGAUUCUUUUGUUAUUUUAGCGAAGAACAAGCACUACGGAACAGGAAGAAAGCACGAAAGAAACUUCAGGUGAGUGAGCAUGAACAUCACUGACUUGUUUAGAAUGCCUUUGCUGUGAACAUGAAAAAAUGUAUGAUACGAUACUAGCAAAUAAACAUGCAUUGACAUAUUUAAAACAAUUAGCAUAGAAUUAAA